UACGAAGGGUGCAAGCGUUACUCGGAAUUACUGGGCGUAAAGCGUGCGUAGGUGGUUUGUUAAGUCUGAUGUGAAAGCCCUGGGCUCAACCUGGGAAUUGCAUUGGAUACUGGCAGGCUAGAGUGCGGUAGAGGGUAGUGGAAUUCCCGGUGUAGCAGUGAAAUGCGUAGAUAUCGGGAGGAAGACCAGUGGCGAAGGCGGGUCUCUGGACAGUUCCUGACACUGAGGCACGAAGGCCAGGGGAGCAAACGGG
rnacentral:rRNA from 1 species